CACGUAGGGUGCGAGCGUUGUCCGGAAUCAUUGGGCGUAAAGAGCGUGUAGGCGGCCUGAUAAGUCGGCUGUGAAAGUCAAGGGCUCAACCCUUGAAUGCCGGCCGAUACUGUCAGGCUAGAGUCCGGAAGAGGCGACUGGAAUUCCUGGUGUAGCGGUGAAAUGCGCAGAUAUCAGGAGGAACACCGGUGGCGAAGGCGGGUCUCUGGGCCGAUACUGACGCUGAGGAGCGAAAGCGUGGGGAGCGAACAGG
rnacentral:rRNA from 1 species